UGGGGAAUAUUGGACAAUGGGCGCAAGCCUGAUCCAGCAAUGCCGCGUGUGUGAAGAAGGCCUUCGGGUUGUAAAGCACUUUUAUCAGGAGCGAAACGCUGUCGGCUAAUACCCGGCGGAACUGACGGUACCUGAGGAAUAAGCACCGGCUAACUUCGUGCCAGCAGCCGCGGUAAUACGAAGGGUGCAAGCGUUAAUCGGAAUUACUGGGCGUAAAGCGUGCGUAGGCGGUUUCUUAAGUCUGCUGUGAAAUCCCCGGGCUCAACCUGGGAAUGGCAGUGGAUACUGGGAGGCUAGAGUGUGUCAGAGGGUGGUGGAAUUCCCGGUGUAGCGGUGAAAUGCGUAGAGAUCGGGAGGAACAUCAGUGGCGAAGGCGGCCACCUGGGACAACACUGACGCUGAGGCACGAAAGCGUGGGGAGCAAACAGGAUUAGAUACCCUGGUAGUCCACGCCCUAAAACGAUGCGAACUGGAUGUUGGUCUCAACUCGGAGAUCAGUGUCGAAGCUAACGCGUUAAGUUCGCCGCCUGGGGAAGUACGGUCGCAAGACUGAAACUCAAAGGAAUUGACGGGGUCAUAGCUGUUUCC
rnacentral:rRNA from 1 species